UGGGGAAUUUUGGACAAUGGGCGAAAGCCUGAUCCAGCAAUGCCGCGUGUGUGAAGAAGGCCUUCGGGUUGUAAAGCACUUUUGUCCGGAAAGAAAUCCUUGGCUCUAAUACAGUCGGGGGAUGACGGUACCGGAAGAAUAAGCACCGGCUAACUACGUGCCAGCAGCCGCGGUAAUACGUAGGGUGCAAGCGUUAAUCGGAAUUACUGGGCGUAAAGCGUGCGCAGGCGGUUUGCUAAGACCGAUGUGAAAUCCCCGGGCUCAACCUGGGAACUGCAUUGGGUGACUGGCAGGCUAGAGUAUGGCAGAGGGGGGUAGAAUUCCACGUGUAGCAGUGAAAUGCGUAGAGAUGUGGAGGAAUACCGAUGGCGAAGGCAGCCCCCUGGGCCAAUACUGACGCUCAUGCACGAAAGCGUGGGGAGCAAAACAGGAUUAGAUACCCUGGUAGUCCACGCCCUAAAACGAUGUCAACUAGUUGUUGGGGGAUUCAUUUCCUUAGUAACGUAGCUAACGCGUGAAGUUGACCGCCUGGGGAGUACGGUCGCAAGAUUAAAACUCAAAUGAAUUGACGGGGUCAUAGCUGUUU
rnacentral:rRNA from 1 species